rnacentral:misc_RNA from 1 species
GAAAUGCGAUACUUGGUGUGAAUUGCAGAAUCCCGUGAACCAUCGAGUCUUUGAACGCAAGUUGCGCCCGAAGCCAUUAGGCCGAGGGCACGCCUGCCUGGGUGUCACACAUCGUUUCGGAAACGAU